rnacentral:rRNA from 1 species
AUAACAAGCCCUAAGGUGGGGGAUAAUCUCGGGAAACUGAGGAUAAUACCCCAUAGGUCUAGCAUGCUGCAAUGCUACUAGGCCGAAAACUCCGGUGCCUUAGGAUUGGUCUGCGGUCUAUCAGGCAGUAGUGGGUGUAAUGGACCCACUAGCCCGUGACGGAUAUGGGCCUUGAGAGAGGGAGCCCAGAGAUGGACUCUGAGACAUGAGUCCAGGCCCUACGGGGCGCAGCAGUCGCGAAAACUUCGCAAUGGGGGAAACCCCGACGAGGGAAUUCCAAGUGCCAGCACUUUGUGUUGGCUGUUCUUCUGUCUAAAAAACAGGAGAAGUAAGGGGCGGGUAAGACGGGUGCCAGCCGCCGCGGUAAUACCCGCGCCCCAAGUGGUGGUCGAUAUUAUUGAGCCUAAAACGUCCGUAGCCGGUCUUCUAAAUCCUUGGGUAAAUCGGGCAGCUCAACUGUCCGAAUUCCGGGGAGACUGGGAGACUUGGGACCGGGAGAGGUCAGAGGUACUUCUGGGGUAGGGGUAAAAUCCUGUAAUCCUGGAAGGACCACCGGUGGCGAAGGCGUCUGACUAGAACGGAUCCGACGGUGAGGGACGAAGCCCUGGGGCGCAAACGGGAUUAGAUACCCCGGUAGUCCAGGGUGUAAACGCUGCGGGCUUGGUGUUGGGGGUCCUUAGUGGGCGCCCAGUGCCGGAGAGAAGUUGUUAAGCCUGCUGCUUGGGGAGUAUGUCCGCAAGGAUGAAACUUAA